rnacentral:rRNA from 1 species
GAUUAACGCUAGCGGCAGGCCUAAUACAUGCAAGUCGAACGGUAGCGGGUCCAGCAAUGGAUGCCGGCGAGUGGCGCACGGGUGCGUAACGCGUAUGCAACCUACCUUUGACUGGGGGAUAGCCCCGAGAAAUCGGGAUUAAUACCCCAUAUUAUUAUGAAGUGGCGUCACUUUAUAAUUAAAGCUCCGGCGGUCUUAGAUGGGCAUGCGUGACAUUAGCUUGUUGGUGAGGUAACGGCUCACCAUGGCGACGAUGUCUAGGGGUUCUGAGAGGAUUUUCCCCCACACUGGUACUGAGACACGGACCAGACUCCUACGGGAGGCAGCAGUAAGGAAUAUUGGGCAAUGGGCGCAAGCCUGACCCAGCCAUGCCGCGUGAAGGAUGACGGCCCUAUGGGUUGUAAACUUCUUUUGUACGGGAAAAAACCCCCGGUCGUGAACUGGGGUUGAUGGUACCGUAAGAAUAAGCAUCGGCUAACUCCGUGCCAGCAGCCGCCGUAAGAC